CUCAUAUGUCUUUGCCAAAGAUCCUAUCCUCUCUCCUUUUUUCUCUCCAUCCUUCUCCUCUACCACUUUCAUCUGUAAAUGACUAAAAAUGAUAGCAGUCAUCCGUUAUCAUGUUUUAUCGAUUUAAAAAUAGAUUUCAUAUCCUUAAUCCAUAAAAUUACAAGUCCACCACCAAACCAAGAAAUCACGGCCAUGAACAUAAUCCAUCCAGAGUACAAUCAUUUAAAGAUAUGAAACAAUUCGAUGAUUCUAAAUGGAGUAAAAGACAUGGUGACUUUGAUAUUACUUCUAUCUCCCAAAUAUUUAUCCAUCCAAUAUCAAUGUUAUCACAUGUUAUGUCUAUUCCAAGAUCCAAAUCCCAACUCAUCUUUAUUAUUGAGUUUCAAGCGUUGAUUCCUACAGGAGGCAAGUGAUUAUGGAGCAAAUUUACUUAUUGUCGGAAACUUGGGUAUAUUCAGACAAUAUCAACAGUAGAAAAGAGCAUUCGGUUGAUUCAGUUCCCAACUAAAUUGAAAUUAAAAAAUUGAAAUAUUAAAAUCAUCAAAAUAAACCAAAUCGAUGUCCAAAAUAUAACAAAUCAAAUUAAAUUAAACUAAAAUUUUCAUUUUGGUUCGGUUAACUGAAAAUCGAAAUUAUUCAAUAUUUUUGCAAUUGAUUUCAAGUUUAAAUCCCAAUAACAUUUAAUAAGAAAAAUUUUGAAACUCAACAUAUCAGAAGCCGAGUAAAUCAUAAAAAUUUAAAAAUCAUGAAAAUCCAAAAUCAGAAUUGAUUGCUUGGAAGACAACAGUCAUCCAUCGACCAUGAAGCCACCAUCAGUAAGCAAAUCCAUCACAAAAAAUUUGAAACUAGACCCAUUAACACACCCAUCAAGCUUGAUAACACACCAUAUGAAUGCUCUUCAAACCACAUACAACCUGAAAACCCCUCCAGUCUCUAUUGUGUUGAACAGUAGUGAAACUGAAGACAAGACAGAUAGAUGGAGCUAUGGCUCGCCAUGAAGACAAGACAGAUUGGUGGAACCGAGGAGCCAUGGAAGCUGUGAAUUUUAAAUCUUUUAUCAAAAAUAUCGAUGAAAUUUCUUGAGCUCCAACACACCAAUGAUCUCACUACCAGGUAAAGUUGUGAAAGGAGGCGAGAAGAAGGGAAUUAUUUGGACUUGAUUGGUAUCUAUGAUUGUUGAUUUAUCCUUGGGGGCUUUUUGGAGAAUAUGCAGUUAAUCUUCUAUUUUAGUAUAAGAGAAUUCAAGUUAAGAUGGAGAUUUAUCGGGAUAACUUGAUUCUGUUAUGAUACACCAAUAUGUAUAGAAUUAACUCCCUUAUGAAACUUCUUC
rnacentral:lncRNA from 1 species